rnacentral:rRNA from 1 species
UACGUAGGGUGCGAGCGUUAAUCGGAAUUACUGGGCGUAAAGCGUGCGCAGGCGGUGAUGUAAGACAGGUGUGAAAUCCCCGGGCUUAACCUGGGAACUGCAUUUGUGACUGCAUCGCUGGAGUGCGGCAGAGGGGGAUGGAAUUCCGCGUGUAGCAGUGAAAUGCGUAGAUAUGCGGAGGAACACCGAUGGCGAAGGCAGCGCCCUGGCCGCCAUCUGACGCUCAGGCACGAAAGCUGGGGGAGCGAACAGG